CCCCUCAAAUCAGGUAGGACUACCCGCUGAACUUAAGCAUAUCAAUAAGCGGAGGAAAAGAAACCAACCGGGAUUGCCUCAGUAACGGCG
rnacentral:rRNA from 1 species